rnacentral:tRNA from 1 species
GGGGUCGUAGUGUAGUUUGGCUAUCACUGGAGCUCGGGGAGCUUCCAACCGGAGUUCGAAUCUCCGCGACCCCA